rnacentral:rRNA from 1 species
UACGGAGGGUGCAAGCGUUAUCCGGAUUCACUGGGUUUAAAGGGUGCGUAGGCGGGCAGGUAAGUCCGUGGUGAAAUCUCCGAGCUUAACUCGGAAACUGCCAUGGAUACUAUUUGUCUUGAAUACUGUGGAGGUGAGCGGAAUAUGUCAUGUAGCGGUGAAAUGCUUAGAGAUGACAUAGAACACCAAGUGCGAAGGCAGCUCACUGCGCAGUUAUUGACGCUGAGGCCCGAAAGCGUGGGGAUCAAACAGG